UACAGAGGUCUCAAGCGUUGUUCGGAUUCAUUGGGCGUAAAGCGCACGUAGGCGGUCCGGAAGUCGGGUGUGAAAUCCCUCGGCUCAACCGAGGAAGUGCAUUCGAAACUUCCGGACUUGAAUAUGGAAGAGGGUCGCGGAAUUCCCGGUGUAGAGGUGAAAUUCGUAGAUAUCGGGAGGAACACCAGUGGCGAAGGCGGCGACCUGGGCCAAUAUUGACGCUGAGGUGCGAAAGCGUGGGGAGCAAACAGG
rnacentral:rRNA from 1 species